rnacentral:misc_RNA from 1 species
CCUUUCAAUGCAGCAGAGUUGGGAUGGUUGAGUUUCUCGCCUUCUAACCCUGCCUGUAUUCUACCCUUGUUUCUCUCACAUCAUUAUUUCCUCGGCAGGUCUGCCUGCCGAGUGAAACCACUUAUAACCUAUUUAAUUUUCAAUCAGCGUCUGAAAACAAUAAUAAUUA